GUUGUUUGAAGCGUCUAUGAUGAACAGAGACCGAAUGAGAAGGAAGGGAAGUUGACGUCCCUGGGAUGUCGUCACUUCAUUAUUGCGUGCACAUGCGCGUUCAUGUGAGGCGAGACCUUUUUCAAAACGUGUUUCAAGACACAGGAGAGGUCGGGUUGAAAUAUUACUGAUGUUUCACGUUGAAAAUGGACCAAAAGAUUGAUGCUAAACAACGUUUGACAUGUUUGAACGAACGUAAAUAGAUUUUUUUUUAACUUUUCGUCGUGACUUUUCCCUCCCGCGCCCUACAUUUUGAGUAGCCCCGAAUGUGCUAACAACACGGAACAGCAUGGAGUUAUUUGGACAUAAAUUAUGAACUUCAUUGAAAAAAACAACAUUUGUUGUGGACCUGAGAUCCCUGGAAGUGCCUUCUGAUGAAGAUUAUUAAAAGCCAGGAGAGUGUCUAAACACUGGACUGAAAAUCAGCACAGACUUCACCAACCAGUGGUUCUGUAAUUCUGUCAUGAUAGAAUGUGCAGACUGAAGGUGAUUGUGAUGCGUUUAGGAUGAGUGUUUACACUUCCUCCAGGAGGCAGGAGUGCUCCAGGAUGCCGGUGGGCGGAGUUGGAAGGGUCGUCAGCUAAAUGGGAAACACCUGGGCUCGGCUGUGUCCCAGGAUAAAGGCACCUCUUCCACAGUCAUUGAGGAGACUCUCUCCACGCAGACACUUUGUUGAUUUUGGUUGUGUAGUUUUGUGGCUUUUUGGUUAUUUGCUUUGGCACUUUUCAACACCCUGCAUUAUUACAUUCAGGUAUGCAAAACACUCACACUACUGAUUACUGAUUACACAC
rnacentral:lncRNA from 1 species